CAGAGGGUAGUUUAAUUUAGAAUCUUA
rnacentral:tRNA from 1 species